AGCCGCCUGCGCUGUUGGUGAUAGGAAUUAUAUUUUUUUGAACCUAAAGCUUUUUAGGGAUCCCAAUAUUUGGAUGUAGCGGUCACGCCCCUCCGGGGAAGGCUAAACCAUCCGUGCGGGAACCCACCUGGUAUCAGGUUCAAAAAGCUUUCCUACACGGCAGCGCGGGUUUUUU
rnacentral:other from 1 species